UACUGACAGAGAUUCUCACGCUCAACACGGGCACGCACGUAUGCAUGUCUCAGGAAAUCCUCAUGAGGAGGAGGACGAUGCAUUGAGUGUGGUGGAGGAGGGCUCACUGGCUGUUACACCCAAACACUGGAGUAAGGAAACAGCAUCCCCAAAACACUGAGUCAGUUUUCAACAUCCACUCUGAGUCUGACAUCUGUAAGCCGAUCCUAAGUGGGCCACAGGGCUUCUCCAAGAUGACAGAGGAAACCACUUUGUUAGCGCCCAUCUUCACACACUCACACUCCAUUGAAACCAUUCCUCAACUCUCGCUCGCUCGCUCGCGCACGCGCACAAAAUCAUAGUCAUUCCUGAAUUAUUCAGUGCCGUGGCAGAAGCAGGUGUCAGAGUGACCUGACCUGUCUUGAGUGUACUGAAACAAAAAGGUAAUAUGAGAUAUGGAGUUCAGACCCCCAUAAGGAAUUCAAGGGCUCGAUAUUAACGCUUGCCCUGUGGCAAGAAAACUAUGUGUUCGGGCAAGUGGAAUACCUCAUGCAGUUGUCCCAUCGGGCAAGUGAAAAAUAAAUGUAAUCUUGUGAGUGAGAGCAGCUGCUCAGCGACAAACGUGUCAAGCGAGCUAACCUAGGAGCAGAAAAAGGAAGGCCAGCAAUGGCACAGGAGAAAGUCCAAAUCCCUGCCUGACCUUUCCGCCUUACUCGGAGAGAAGAUAAGUUGUCGAUCCAGGGAGAAUGACAUUUCUUCUGCUCCGCAGGCUCUCAUUCUCCAGGUUCGCCUCGGGAUACUGUUCAUGAGAGAUGGCUGAUUAUCGACAGGGACAGGGUGGCAGGUGGUCACAUCUUACUCUGUGAUAUCACUCUGCAGGACCUUCAGGUUACACAAUCUGGGUUCAUCGGAGAUUGAAAAGUAGUGAGCCGGAGCAAGCUUUGGAUGGCCUACUGUGAGAGAGGAGACGUGGACACUGUGUGGUGGGCUGGACAGCGCAAGUUUUGCCCUCACGACCGAGAGCCUCGGGCCAAGUGGGAGCGAGGGAGCUCCAGACGGAUUGUGGGACAAUUCAUUGCUGAUGCAAUCCUCAAAUAUAGAGCUGUGGCAAAUAUUCCUCCCUGUGUGUUUGUAGUUAUCUGUGAACAGAGGUCUACAGCAGUGGAACUGCUAUAGUCAGGCUUUAUCCCAGUAAUGUACAUCCGUUGAGCCAGACUACAUGUUAAGUGGCUUACAGGUCUUCAAAAAAGUCAAGGACGGCAAGCUAUGACAGACCAGGGUCCGAUGUGUAGUCUGCUAUGCUUCUCAAUCAAGUCACAAUAAGAGUUCAUAACUUAUGAUCACCUAAUAUGACACAGUGACCUCCUGAAAAGACAAAAACACAUCUGUUGGUCCAUCCUGGCGUUACAUAUCCUUCAGCCAAACAUGGUAAAAUCAAAACACGGUUGCUUGCCGACUAAAAAGUUAUUAUGGUUUUGUCCAUUCUGAACCGAUGAUGGAGGCUUUAGUGGGGGAUUAGUGAGAGUAGGAUCCUCCAUGUACAUUUGUGUGUGGCUGAGGCAGAGAUGAUCAGUGGGUAGAGACAACAACAGAGUGCUAUCUCCGGUCAGUAGAUUCGUACGUAGUACAGCCCACAGCCCAC